GCCCAUAUCAGGGGGAUAGCCCGGAGAAAUCCGGAUUAACACCGCAUGACACUGCUUUCCGGCAUCGGGAGGCGGUCAAAUAUUCAUAGGAUAUGGAUGGGCUCGCGUGACAUUAGCUAGUUGGUGGGGUAACGGCCCACCAAGGCGACGAUGUCUAGGGGCUCUGAGAGGAGAAUCCCCCACACUGGUACUGAGACACGGACCAGACUCCUACGGGAGGCAGCAGUAAGGAAUAUUGGUCAAUGGGGGCAACCCUGAACCAGCCAUGCCGCGUGCAGGACGACUGCCCUAUGGGUUGUAAACUGCUUUUGUUAGGGAAUAAACCCCGCUACGUGUAGCGGGCUGAAUGUACCUAAAGAAUAAGGAUCGGCUAACUCCGUGCCAGCAGCCGCGGUAAUACGGAGGAUCCGAGCGUUAUCCGGAUUUAUUGGGUUUAAAGGGUGCGUAGGCGGCACUUUAAGUCAGGGGUGAAAGACGGCAGCUCAACUGUCGCAGUGCCCUUGAUACUGAAGUGCUUGAAUGCGGUUGAAGACGGCGGAA
rnacentral:rRNA from 1 species